rnacentral:ncRNA from 2 species
CCUCCUGGGAAGUCCUCGUGUUGCACCCUU